CUUUAAGGAGAUAAAAACACGGCCCCGUUGAGUAGUCGGGGCGCGGCGCCAUCGGCGCCGUCCGUAACCUGCCUCCUUGGUUGUCUCUUCUCCGCAUGGAAAGC
rnacentral:ncRNA from 1 species